rnacentral:tRNA from 1 species
GUCCCGUUAGCUCAGUUGGUUAGAGCGUCGUGCUAAUAACGCGAAGGUCGUGGGUUCGAUCCCCCCACGGGCCA